GCGGGACGGGGCCGCCCCGCGAGGGACGGCGCCGCCCCGGGGCUCGUGAUAUCUUAUCUCGCCGCCCCGUCGCGAGGCGGACGGAGGGAUGGAUGAGGUUACCUGGAAAAAUCGGGGCGAUCUAGGCGGGCGAACCUCGCCAACGAACGAUCGGACAUGGGAUAACGGAAGAGGGCGUCGGCUCGACUUCGUCGGUUCCUCGGGCCGAGGCACGUACGGUGAAUAGGGACGGUCGGGGCCGCCCGUACCGGGUCGUGAGAGGUGAAAUUCUAGGAUCGACCCGAGACGAACUGCCGCGAAAGCAUUCGGCAAGGACGCUUUCAUUAAUCAAGAACGAAAGUCGGGGGAUCGAAGACGAUCAGAUACCGUCGUAGUCCCGACCGUAAACGAUGCCGACCGAGGGCCCGGAGGAGUUACGUACGACCCUCCGGGCCCUCCCGCGAGAAAUCAGGAGUAUUCGGGUUCCGGGG
rnacentral:rRNA from 1 species